rnacentral:lncRNA from 1 species
UGUUCGUUCACCUGCUGACCUGACCUCGUCCCCCAGAGCCAGGAGUUCCUGCUGAGGAUGCAUGGACCCAUCUUUUGCAGUGCCAGGCAGGGCGGCUGAGGAGGACUGGACCCGGUUGCUGGGGGUCCACUCGCAUCCACACCACAAACAUUGAAGGAGGCUUCCCGUGGCAUCUGUGCCCAGACACAGGCAAUGCCCAGAGGAAGAGAAAAGUGCUGGGCAACGUCCGGGAGCUCUCUGCCCAGUGGCAGGGAAAGCCCUGAAAGAAGAGCCCUGGUCUUGAACUUCCCAAUCUGCUCCAUCCCCCAUCCCCAUCCACUCCCUCGCCUCCACCACUACCCUAGGUCACCCCCUCCCCAGGCUUUUUGUGUUUUGGGAGAAGUCACCAAACCAGGAUGUUAAAUCCCAGCCCCCUCCUUCCUACCCUCCCUGGCUUUAUUUUAAACUUCUGAGGCCUCCCAGGCAAGCGGAGGAAGUGACGAGAUCCCUGUGGUGGGUCAUGGCGGGUGAUGCUCUCAGCCCACCGGCCCUUCUUGUCUCAGUCCCGACCCCUCCCAUACUCUGUCCCUUGCUUCCAGAUGCUCAGGAUGACAACAGAGGAAAUGGACAUCUUCUGUUUGAAUAUCCCAGAAUACAGUGCUUCUGUCUCCUCCCACCGGUCCAGUUAGCUUCCCUCUGGACCAGCAGGCGAGGGGGAGACGUGAGGGUUUGGGACCUUUGGCUGGGAAGCCGCUGACCAGGUGGCCAGGGGGCGGGGUGUGUGGGGAGAAGGGCUGAGGGGCAGUUAGGAUGGCCCUGUUUCUGAGGGCGCCUGAGCCUGGGGCUGGCAUUACACAUGGGGGCUUCGAGGAUGCUGAGGGUGAGGAGAGGUCACCCUGCAGGAGCCGUGGGGCCGGUGAGAUAAAGCCUCAGGGAUGCCCGUGAACUGGUUUGUCCGCUUCCGCUCCCAGGGGCCACCGCAGGCUUGAUUGGUGGGGGGUGCUGAGCAUGGAAGCCCAGGCAGCUUUCGCUGGGGCAGACUCUCAGGCCGAUGCUGAAGAAGGCUGCUUGUCAGCCAGCGUGUCCCAGGGAGAGGGGAGCAGGUGUGGGGUUCCUGCCAUCUGUGAUAAGCUCCUCGGCUUGCUUGGCAGGAGCCGGUCUUUGCAUGUAGCCCCUUUCCAAUGUGCUGUGUACCAUUCUGGUUUCUCCUGUCCCUGGUGCUGGCUGGGAGUGGGUGGGGGCUGUGGCCUCGGCGCUGGGGAAGGAUGGAGGGCCAGUGGUCCAGGCCCCUUUGAGCGGGGGGAAGGACGUGACCAGGACAUUUAAACUGAGUUGGAGGGGAGCAGCUGCUUUUCUGUCUUUGUUUCUCUGCUCCUUGGGGGCUGGGGCAGGGGUAGUCUGGCCUCCCCCCGGGCUUGCUCUUUGACCUAAAGUUUGUUUCUGAUGGGGUCAGCUUUCCCUUCCUCCCUCAAUACUUGGGAACCUUCCUUCCAACUCCACACUUACUGUUUCAAGCACUGCUGGGGCCUUGAGCUUGUUGGAUUGCAUUUCUGCCGAGAGGAGCCUGUGGGUUCUGCUGUCCUCCAGGGCCUCCGCCAUCGUGUGUGGGCUUUUCUGGACAAGUAGGGCAAGAGGAGGGUGGGCCGGGGGUGCUUCUCAGGGGAGACAGGCUCCAGGCCUGGGCUCUGAGGUCGCUGUCUGGGGUUUUUGGUCUGGCUUAGGGUUGGGGAUAAGCCUCUGGCUACCAGGGCUCCUGGGUGGGGUCUUGUUUGGGGGUUGGUAUUUGGGGUGAAGGUUCAGGAAGCUGCCGUCUAUGCAAUAAUAAACUUGCAUCUGCUCACAGGCUCUGCCUGGGCUGUGGGGUCUGCUUGUGGCCUCAGGAUGGGGGACUGGUCUGAGGAGGAGGAGGGAAGCUGAGGACCCUGGGUCAUGCUGGGUCAGGCCCUGCCUCUCUUACAGUUUCCAUAAUACCUCCUGUGUGUGCACUUGCUCAGUCGUGUCUGACUCUCUGCAACCCCAUGGACUGUAGCCCACCAACCUCCUCUGUCCAUGGGGUCAGCUCGGCAGGAAUACUGGAGUGGUUUGCCAUUUCCUCCUCCAGGGGAUCUUCGCAACCCAGGGAUCGAACCCAUGUCUCCUGCAGCUCCUGCAUUAGCAGGCAGAUUCUUUACCAUUGCACCACCUGGGAAUACCUCCUGAGGGGUGGCUGAAAGGCUUCAGUCCUGACAGGGCCACAGACCUUCUAGGGAAGACCUUGGGUUUGUAAAGCCAACUUCUAAAAGAUUCCCUGAGCAGCAUAUAGCAAAAGAAAGAGCCUGCCUUUUGGAAAAAAAUCUUUGGCCACCCACCCCGCAGGAUCUUAGUUCCCCAGUCAGGGAUGGAACCUGUGCCCCCUGCUUUGAAAGUCUUAACCACUGGACCUCCAGGGAAGUCCCAAAAGAGCCAGCCUUUUGAGAUUGGCUUCCCUGGGCUCUAGUCCUGCUUAGGAUACUUACUUCACUUCUCCGAGCCUCAAUUUCUCAUCUAUAAAACAGAGAAAAUACUACUACCUCCUGGGGUUGUAGUGAGGAUAACUUUAAACAUUAAAGCUCAUAUAAAGCCCAGUAAUUGAGAGCAGUAAGUGCAGACUUCCCAUUUUGGGGUCAUUAUUGCUGUUGACCUGAAGUACAGUCAUUAGCCCUCUCACAAGCUUCUUGCAUUUUAAUUGAAACCCCAGAAACCUCGAGUGGGUGGAGGUGAUUCGGGCUCCUGUCAGAAAGUCACAGAGCGUCUCAGUCAAAGGAAGGACCUAUAGGCCAUCAUCAUAGCUUCCAGAGGCUUAGAUGGGAGGAGAGACUUGCCCAAGUUCACACAACAAGCCAGGGGUGGGAAAGCAAUUAUCUUGACUUAUUUUAGUGGCUAAGUCAAGCCAACAGCCCCCAUGAGCAUUGGAGGGGAGGGUCCCUCACCAGUAGGCUUGAGUUCAGGCAGGUUCCAGAGUUCUUUGGUGCUCA